UCGUAACAAGGUCUCCGUUGGUGAACCAGCGGAGGGAUCAUUACAGAGUUAUACAACUCCCAUACCAUCUGUUAACCUACCCAGUUAUGCCUCGGCGUAAGCUCGGUUGGAGGCACCUGCAGCUACCCUGUAGUUGCGGACUGCCAACUCCAGCCGCGGCCCGCCGGCGGUACACUAAACUCUGUUUUAUUUUAUAUUCUGAGCGUCUUAUUUUAAUAAGUUAAAACUUUCAACAACGGAUCUCUUGGUUCUGGCAUCGAUGAAGAACGCAGCGAAAUGCGAUAAGUAAUGUGAAUUGCAGAAUUCAGUGAAUCAUCGAAUCUUUGAACGCACAUUGCGCCCAUCAGUAUUCUGGUGGGCAUGCCUGUUCGAGCGUCAUUUCAACCCUUAAGCCUAGCUUAGUGUUGGGAAUCUGCUGUACUGCAGUUCCUUAAAGACAGUGGCGGAGCGGCGGUAGUCCUCUGAGCGUAGUAAUUUAUUUCUCGCUUUUGUCAGGCUCUGUCCUCCCGCCAUAAAACCCCCAAUUUUUUAGUGGUUGACCUCGGAUCAGGUAGGAAUACCCGCUGAACUUAAGCAUAUC
rnacentral:misc_RNA from 1 species